UAGGGAAUCUUCCACAAUGGACGCAAGUCUGAUGGAGCAACGCCGCGUGAGUGAAGAAGGUUUUCGGACCGUAAAGCUCUGUUGUUGGUGAAGAAGGAUAGAGGUAGUAACUGGCCUUUAUUUGACGGUAAUCAACCAGAAAGUCACGGCUAACUACGUGCCAGCAGCCGCGGUAAUACGUAGGUGGCAAGCGUUGUCCGGAUUUAUUGGGCGUAAAGCGAGCGCAGGCGGAAGAAUAAGUCUGAUGUGAAAGCCCUCGGCUUAACCGAGGAAUUGCAUCGGAAACUGUUUUUCUUGAGUGCAGAAGAGGAGAGUAGAACUCCAUGUGUAGCGGUGGAAUGCGUAGAUAUAUGGAAGAAUACCAGUGGCGAAGGCGGCUCUCUGGUCUGCAACUGACGCUGAGGCUCGAAAGCAUGGGUAGCGAACAGGAUUAGAUACCCUUGGUAGUCC
rnacentral:rRNA from 1 species